rnacentral:rRNA from 1 species
CCCGCUGAACUUAAGCAUAUCAAUAAGCGGAGGAAAAGAAACUAACAAGGAUUCCCCUAGUAACUGCGAGUGAAGCGGGAAGAGCUCAAAUUUAAAAUCUGGCGGCAUUGGCCGUCCGAGUUGUAAUCUGGAGAAGCGUUUUCUGUGUCGGACCGUGCAAAAGUUUCCUGGAACGGCAACGUCAUAGAGGGUGAGAAUCCCGUCCAUGGCACGGAUCACCGAGGCUUUGUGAUACGCUCUCGAAGAGUCGAGUUGUUUGGGAAUGCAGCUCAAAAUGGGUGGUAAAUUCCAUCUAAAGCUAAAUAUUGGCGAGAGACCGAUAGCGAACAAGUACCGUGAGGGAAAGAUGAAAAGAACUUUGGAAAGAGAGUUAAACAGUAUGUGAAAUUGCUGAAAGGGAAACGCUUGAUGUCAGUCACGUUGGCUAGGGAUCAACCUUGCUUCUCGCUGGGUGUAUUUCCUAGUGGACGGGUCAGCAUCAGUUUCGGUCGCUGUACAAGGGCAAAGGGAACGUGGCACUCCUUGGAGUGUGUUAUAGCCUUUCGUCGUAUGCAGUGGUUGGGACUGAGGAACUCGGCACGAAAUCUAUUUUGUGCUUAGGAUGCUGGCAUAAUGGCCUUAAGCGACCCGUCUUGAAACACGG